rnacentral:rRNA from 1 species
CCCCUAGAUGUUCUGGGCCGCACGCGCGCUACACUGAACAGUUCAACAAGUCUUAACCUUGGCCGAUAGGUCUGGGUAAUCUUUGAACGCUGUUCGUGAUUGGGAUAGACCUUUGCAAUUAUGGGUCUUCAACGAGGAAUUCCUAGUAAACGCAAGUCAUCAGCUUGCAUUGAUUACGUCCCUGCCCUUUGUACACACCGCCCGUCGCACCUACUGAUUGAAUGGUCCGGUGAAAUCUCGGGACGGCGGCUUGGUCGCUUGCGUCCGACUGCUGAAACUUGAUUAAACCAUAUCAUUUAGAGGAAGGUGAANUCGUANCA